UCCAUGCCAUAUGAACCUGUCCUAAUUGUAUGAUAAAAUAGAAUAUCUUCAUAGUCUGACAGAAUAACUUUAAAAACAUAUUAAUCACAUUUAUUACAAGAAAAUUUCUUGUGUUGGAUGUGCAUAUAGGUUUUUCCCCUCACAGUUCUUGCAAUUGAUGCUUUAUAUCGGCACGGUCAGAUUUGGCAAAUGUAGUAGCUUCUCUCCCUCAUAUAGUUUAAUAAGACCGUUUGUUUUCUUUUAAGAAUAAUCAAUUCCUAAAUUUGACUUUAGAAUUUUAAUCAGUGUUGUGGUUUGCAGUCGGUAAUAAUAUGCAUUCGAUACCAUAAUUCAUAAUAAGGGUCUGUAAGUCUCGUUUGCUUUCAUUUUCGGUUUUACUACUUCCGGGUACAACAACAUGUGGAAUAUAUAAAGUCGUAACAGAGAAUCGGCGCUAAUUUGUAAUUUGGUGUAUUGUUAAGCGAUCGGCUGCAUACAUGAGACGGGGAAAACCCUGCCAUGUAGUUUAUUUAGGUUCCUAGUCGAUGCUACAGUAAGGAAGCGGUGGAUACAAAGAUGUAGACACAAAGUUACGAAACCUGCUGAAGCAGAAGCAUCUGCUUCAAAUGUACAUGUAGGAACCGAAAUUGAUACUGCUACCAAUAUAUCUGUACCAGACAACAAUGAAGUGCAUCUACAUGAUCACGAGUAUUAACAGCAUCAAACCCUCAACAUUUAAAAAGCUUCCCUUGAAGACUAUGAUGUUGUAAACUUGCAGUGAGAAAUAUACCUGCUUAAUUAAAGGAAACCAUCCAUGACAAUUGGGAACAUCAUAAUUGAAAGACCCUGGAAAGGGAUCAUGAACACUGUUGGGAGUGUCCAUUCAACUGAAAUAUAAAAGUAAGAAGAAUUGAAGAUUGCAAUGGAUGCAACAGAAGUGACCUAAUAUGACCAAAUUGAUAUGAAUAGCCAGUUUUUCGCUUGCAGUAAUGACAAGAGUCGCCACAAAGAAAAGACCUUAAUGUGUAUUACACCUAAUGCAGCUUAUUUCCAAUCUGUAUGCUGGAUACAAAUCUAAUUUGGCAAUUGUGAACCAUUGUGACAUUUUAGAGAAGUUGCAAGUUGGUGAUAUAUUCCUGGCGGACAAAGGAUUUUGUUUUUUUGACAAACUUCCAAAUGACAUGACACUUAAUAUCCCAUUCUUUCUUACAAAUAAAUCCCACUUCUCAAAAGAGGAUGCACAACUUUGCUAUAAAAUUUCCAGAUGCAGAAUCCAUGUUGGAUGGGAAAAUGAGAGAUCUUUUUUUUUUUAAAUUCCUUAGCCAUUAUAGAUAUUGAUCUGACAAAAUAUUUCAGAUUUGUGUGGAUCAUGUGAAUUUGCAGGUUCCCCUUUUGAAGGAGAUUGCAGAUAAAUCCUACAAACUUAUUAGAUUAAUUGCAUGUAUAUAUAUAUACCUUAAAUCUGCACAUACCUGCCACAUUGAAUUUUUAAAGUUAAAAGUAAUGAAUACCAUAUAUGCAAUAUAACUUUACUACAUAUUUAUUUAAAUAUAAAGCCUUUUAUAUUCAUAUGAAUAUAAAGCCCUUUGGAACGUCUCCAUCAGAAUGAAAUAUUCUCGAGAGGAAUGUUAAACAAUAUACAAUCAAACAUAAAGCCUUUUGUUCUCAUUCUGAAGGUUUUCAAAUCUGCAUUAUUAAAAAAGAAGUAAAAUCCAUUGUUUGAGUAAAUGCAUGUAAUUGGAUGAUUUUUGUAAAGCUGGACACUGUGUCUAUACAUACAUGUAUUUUGGUUCAUCUAAAAUAAGAAAAACGCUUGUCUAUAAUGUUUAUUCAAUAAAUAUACAUGUAAUUACAUAACUUUGAUAGAUGCACCACUGAUAUCAUAAUAAAGUAUAUGUACAUGUG